AACGAACGCUGGCGGCGCGUCUUAAGCAUGCAAGUCGAACGGCAAGAUUGGUGCUUGCACCGAUCCUAGAGUGGCGGACUGGUGAGUAACGCGUGGGUGACGUACCCUAAGGAUGGGGAUAGCUGGUAGAAAUAUCAGAUAAUACCGAAUAUCCUUAUUGUUGUUAGAGGACAGUAAGGAAAGGAGCUUUGGCUUCGCCUAAGGAUCGGCCCGCGUACUAUUAGCUAGUUGGUGAGGUAACGGCUCACCAAGGCGACGAUAGUUAUCCGGCCUAAGAGGGUGAACGGACACAUUGGGACUGAGAUACGGCCCAGACUCCUACGGGAGGCAGCAGCUAAGAAUAUUCCGCAAUGGAGGAAACUCUGACGGAGCGACGCCGCGCGGAUGAUGAAGGCCGGAAGGUUGUAAAAUCCUUUUAAGCAAGAAGAAUAAACUUUACAGGGAAUGGUAGAGUGGUGACGGUAUUGCUUGAAUAAGCAACGGCUAAUCACGUGCCAGCAGCCGCCGUAAUAC
rnacentral:rRNA from 1 species